rnacentral:rRNA from 1 species
AUUGAACGCUGGCGGCAUGCCUAACACAUGCAAGUCGAACGGAAACAGGUCUUCGGCUGCUGACGAGUGGGGAACGGGUGAGUGAUAAACCGGAGAGUGCCCAGACGUGGGGGAUAACACGGCGAAAGCUUUGCUAAUAUAGCACACGAUCUGAGGAUGAAAUCAGGGGAGCGCAAGGGACAGUUCGGUUGGAGGGGGCGAUGGCAGAUUAGGUAGAUGGUGGGGUAAAAGCUUACGCAAACGACGAUCUGUAGCUGGUCUGAGAGGACGAGCAGCCACACUGGGACUGAGACACGGCCCAGACUCCUACGGGAGGCAGCAGUGGGGAAUUUUGGACAAUGGGCGAAAGCCUGAUCCAGCAAUGCCGCGUGUAGGAUGAAGGCCUUCGGGUUGUAAACUGCUUUUGUACGGAACGAAAAGGCUCUGGCUAAUACCUGGGGCACAUGACGGUACCGUAAGAAUAAGCACCGGCUAACUACGUG